ensembl:lncRNA
UGGCCCUUUUGGAAGACUUUUCAAGGACUUUUCAAAGACUUUUAAAAUGCAAAGGAUCUUCAUGUGUGAGGGGGACAGUUUUGCACAUGUGCAGUGAGGUUUUCCCUCCAGUAAAUGUGCUGUGAGAAACACUCCCCGGAGAUUGAGGUCAGAGUUUGAUAUAGAACAGUGACGUUCUUGUUGUCA